UCCAGACUCCUACGGGAGGCAGCAGUGGGGAAUAUUGCACAAUGGGGGAAACCCUGAUGCAGCAACGCCGCGUGAAGGAAGACGGUUUUCGGAUUGUAAACUUCUAUCAAUAGGGAAGAAAGGAAUGACGGUACCUAAAUAAGAAGCCCCGGCUAACUACGUGCCAGCAGCCGCGGUAAUACGUAGGGGGCAAGCGUUAUCCGGAUUUACUGGGUGUAAAGGGAGCGUAGACGGCAGCGCAAGUCUGAAGUGAAAUCCCAUGGCUUAACCAUGGAACUGCUUUGGAAACUGUGCAGCUGGAGUGCAGGAGAGGUAAGCGGAAUUCCUAGUGUAGCGGUGAAAUGCGUAGAUAUUAGGAGGAACACCAGUGGCGAAGGCGGCUUACUGGACUGUAACUGACGUUGAGGCUCGAAAGCGUGGGGAGCAAACAGGAUUAGAUACCCCCGUAC
rnacentral:rRNA from 1 species